UGGGGAAUAUUGCACAAUGGAGGGAACUCUGAUGCAGCGACGCCGCGUGAACGAAGAAGGUUUUCGAGUCGUAAAGUUCUUUUAUAUGGGAAGAUAAUGACGGUACCAUAAGAAAAAGCUCCGGCUAACUACGUGCCAGCAGCCGCGGUAAUACGUAGGGGGCUAGCGUUGUCCGGAAUCACUGGGCGUAAAGGGUUCGCAGGCGGAAAUGCAAGUCAGGUGUAAAAGGCAGUAGCUUAACUACUGUAAGCAUUUGAAACUGCAUAUCUUGAGAAGAGAAGAGGUAAGUGGAAUUUUUAGUGUAGCGGUGAAAUGCGUAGAUAUUAAAAAGAAUACCGGUGGCGAAGGCGACUUACUGGGCUCAUUCUGACGCUGAGGAACGAAAGCGUGGGUAGCAAACAGG
rnacentral:rRNA from 1 species